rnacentral:rRNA from 1 species
UGGGGAAUUUUGGACAAUGGGCGAAAGCCUGAUCCAGCAAUGCCGCGUGUGUGAAGAAGGCCUUCGGGUUGUAAAGCACUUUUGUCCGGAAAGAAAUCCUUGGCUCUAAUACAGUCGGGGGAUGACGGUACCGGAAGAAUAAGCACCGGCUAACUACGUGCCAGCAGCCGCGGUAAUACGUAGGGUGCAAGCGUUAAUCGGAAUUACUGGGCGUAAAGCGUGCGCAGGCGGUUUGCUAAGACCGAUGUGAAAUCCCCGGGCUCAACCUGGGAACUGCAUUGGUGACUGGCAGGCUAGAGUAUGGCAGAGGGGGGUAGAAUUCCACGUGUAGCAGUGAAAUGCGUAGAGAUGUGGAGGAAUACCGAUGGCGAAGGCAGCCCCCUGGGCCAAUACUGACGCUCAUGCACGAAAGCGUGGGGAGCAAACAGGAUUAGAUACCCUGGUAGUCCACGCCCUAAAACGAUGUCAACUAGUUGUUGGGGAUUCAUUUCCUUAGUAACGUAGCUAACGCGUGAAGUUGACCGCCUGGGGAGUACGGUCGCAAGAUUAAAACUCAAAGGAAUUGACGGGGUC